rnacentral:rRNA from 1 species
AUGGCUGAAGACGGCCUCCAACCGCCGGGCCCAAAGCAGCCAGCCUUUGUUCGCAUGCGCGUCUCCUUCCUGCGUCACCUAGGUAUGCGCCACCACCCACACAGGAUCUUUAUAAGAGCAAAAACUACAAAAUGGAAAUCUCAGUCCUACUUCUCCAUGACGACAAGGACGACAUCGCCAUGCGUGCACGCUCCAACCUGUCCCCUGUCGCAGCCCCACCACUCGUUGCCGAUGCACUCCAACCCGAGGACCACCAUGAUGGAGGUCGCCUCACAGCCUAGCGACGAGUGUUUGUUGGUUUCUCUUUCAUUUACGGACAUCUUGGGCUUGCUGGGUGCAUAA